CAACCCUCGAGCCCCCGUGGCCCGGCGUUGGGGAUCUGCCACGGCAGUCCCCCAAAACCAGUGGCGAACCCGAAGGCCCUCUCCUUUGCGUAGUAAUACCAUCUCGCAUCGGGAACCGUCGGCGUCCUGCCUCUAAACCCCCCCCAAAGCCCGCCUAGCGGCACCAA
rnacentral:misc_RNA from 1 species